GAAGACACGACGUCAUGUAGCACGGGAUUCCCUAGGCAUUCCCAGUGGUGAGCCCCUGUCAGGGAAUGCGGGGGAGAGGCUUGAGUCAGUCAGACAGUGUCUGUGCAGCGCAGCAAUGUAACUAACGCUGCUCUUGCUAAAACUUCCACUUCCUGGCUCGGGCAACAGCUCUCUCUCUCUCUCUGCUUUAUUCUUCUUCUCCGCCCACUCAGCAGAAUUUCUCCUCUCAGGCUUUUUUAACUUUCUUUUCUUUCGUUGUCACAUCCUGUCAGGGGAAGACGGUGGAGAGGACUGAGAGAGAGGAGUCAGUGGCGGCGGAGCUGGUGGAACAGGAAAACCAAUUUUUAUCAUUCAUGGAUAACAUUAUUCGACUGGAUUUCAUUCCUCUAGCCACGAGCAGCGAGGAGACUCCACUUUAACCCGUUAAGGCAGACAUUAUUUUCUAAAAAAGGAAUGAAUUGGACAGUGAUAUUCUUUGACUGGAUUUCAUUUCUCUUUCCAAGAGCAUCAAGGAGACUCCACUGCAACCCCUUAAGGCAGACAUUAACUUGGAAAAAAAGGAAUGAAAUGGACAGUGAUAUUCUUCGAUUCGAUUUCAUUCCUCUAGCCAUGAGCAUUGAGGAGACUCUACUUCAGCCUCUUAAAGGGGACAUUAGUUUUGAAAAAAGGAAUGAAGUGGACAGUGAUAUACUUCGACUGAAUUUCAUUCCUCUUUCCAAGAGCAUCGAGGAGACUCCACUUCAACCUCUUAAGGCAGACAUUAUUUUGGAAAAAAGGAAUAAAGUGGACAGUGAUAUUCUUCGACUGGAUUUCAUUCCUCUAGCCAUGAGCAUCAAGGAGACUCCACUUCACCAUCAAGAAUAAAAGGAGCUACAGAGGGGACAGCACUGAACAAGGAAAUGAGAGGAAAAAAGCAAAAGUUCAGUGCUUAGUCAACAGUGAGGAAGAAGAGAAGGUAGAACAGAAGAAAGCAGAGAAGAAAGGAGAGCCAACAAAACUGCCCCUAAGCAUGUAGGACAGUCGUGAAUCUGGAGGAAUUUAAAAAACAUCCUGAUGACCGGCAAUGGACAUAUAAAGGACAUUUUUGGUGGUAGGAAAAUAAGAGGCGGGACUGGGACAUUGAAAUAUAUGGCCCCAGGUGAGACACUCCAAAUGAAUUUAUAUACAGUAGCUCUGAGGCACUUGAGCAUCUGAUCUCUCUGUGAUGAGUGGCCAAAUCACUGUAUAAAGGUUUAUUUAAAAGCAUGAGGCACAACCAUGUUCUAGAAGUAAUUAACCAAUAGUUUCUUUGCAAGGUCCUGGACAUGAAGGGCUAUGAUGUCGGGCAGAUCGGUGGUCACUCGGGAUUGUCAUCUGUAAACAGAAAAACAGCUCCUUUCUACAAGGGCUCCCACAGGGAAAAAUACACAUUUGUCAUUCAGGAUGAGUCAAUUUUUCCAGAAGGGCUUAGCUCAGAUUUGGAAGAUCUUCUGCAAAAAGUGGAGAUUUUGAGAGGAGGUUCUAGUCCUUUUAUAACAUAUCUAUUCCCAGGGACAUAAUGGUGUUCCUUCAGUUCCAGCAGCAGCAGCCCUGUUCCUGACAUUCCCACUUACUGAUUAGUUUGCAAUCUGACCAUAAAUUAAUUACAUCUUUUUAUUUUUUAGCUCCCAGAGAAGGACCCUGAAAAACAACUAGUCUUCAUGGAGAACAUUCGGAAUUCGGUUUUUCUAGACACAGAGCCAUCCAACUGAAAUAUAGAUAGAUUUUAUAUUUUAUUGUAAUAUUAUAGUUUGUACAGUUUUUAUUAGGCUCCCUCAUCCAAGGGCUGGGAAUGGCAGGAGCCUGCACAUAGCAAUGUGACUAUUAGUUUCUGAAGUCAAGUGCACAUGCCACUGUGGCAGUUGGGUUUUGUUCUCAGACCAGAGCGCAUCUUCGAGCCUAUGAUCGUUUUUUUUUCCAACAGGAAAACCAAUUUUUAUCAUUCAUUGAUAACAUUCUGCGACUGGAUUUCAUUCCUCUAGCCACAAGCAGCGAGGAGACUCCACUUUAACCCCUUAAGGCAGACAUUAUUUCCAAAAAAAGGAAUGAAGUGGACAGUGAUAUUCUUUGACUGGAUUUCAUUUCUCUAGCCACGAGCAGCGAGGAGACUCCACUUUAACCCGUUAAGGCAGACAUUAUUUUCUAAAAAAGGAAUGAAUUGGACAGUGAUAUUCUUCGAUUUCAUUCUUCUAGCCAUGAGCAUCGAGGCAACCCUACUUCAGCCUCUUAAAGGGGACAUUAGUUCCAAAAAAAGGAAUGAGGUGGACAGUGAUAUACUUUGAUUGGAUUUCAUUCCUCUAGCCACGAGCAUCGAGGAGGCUCCACUUCAGGUCCUUAAGGCAGACAUUAUUUCCUUAAGAAAGGAAUGAAGUGGACAGUGAUAUUCUCCGACUGUCACAUUCAAGGAAUAAUAAACUUUGAGGAUGGGGGGUAUUCUAUCACCUUUCUCCCCCUUCCCCUUAAAUCAAAUUUCUACUUUGCAGGAAUAUAAAAAUCAACAACAUCCUGAUGACCGGCGAUGGAUAUAUAAAGGACAUGUUUGGUGGUAGGAAAAUAAGAGGCAGGACUGGGAUAUCGAAAUAUAUGGCCCCAGGUGAGAUACUCCAAAUGAAUUUAUAUAGCUCUGAGGCAUUUGAGCAUCUGAUCUCUCUGUGGUGAGUGACCAAAUCACUGUAUAAAGGUUUAUUUAAAGCAUUAGGUACAACCAUGUUCUAGAAGUAAUUAACCAAUAGUUUCUUUGCAAGGUCAUGGACAUGAAGGGCUAUGAUGUCGGAGCAGAUUGGUGGUCACUCGGGAUUGUCAUCUGUAAAAUGGCCAGCAAAACAGCUCCUUUCUACAAGGGCUCCCACAGAGAAAAAUACACAUCUGUCAGUCCAUUUUUCCAGAAGGACUUAGCUCAGAUUUGGAACAUCUUCUGAGAAAAGUGGGGAUUUUGAGAGGAGGUUCCUAGUCCUGUUAUAACAUUUCUAUUCCCAGGGACAUAAUGGUGUUCCUUCAGUUCCAGCAGCAGCAGCCCUGAUCCUGACAUUCCCACUGAUUGAUUAGUUUGCAAUCUGACCAUAAAUUAAUUACAUUUUUUUGUUUUUUUAGCUCCCAGAGAAGGACCCCAAAAAACAACUAGGCUUCAUGGAGAACAUUCGGAAACACACAGUUUUUAAUUCCAUCAACUGGGAACAGCUGGAACACCCCUAUCCAGCCUGAAGUAAAGAAGGAGGUUGCAAAAAAAGACCGCGUCUUAAAGAGAAGAGGCCCCUCCCACUAAACAUCAGCAACUACAAAAUCCAUGCAGUGCUGGGUCGUGGACAUUAUGGCAAGGUAAGUUGUUCUUUUAUUCAGUCCCUUAUUGU